rnacentral:rRNA from 1 species
UACAGAGGUCCCAAGCGUUGUUCGGAUUCAUUGGGCGUAAAGGGUGCGUAGGUGGCGCUGUAAGUCGGGUGUGAAAUUUCGGAGCUUAACUCCGAAACUGCAUUCGAUACUGCGGUGCUUGAGGACUGGAGAGGAGACUGGAAUUCAUGGUGUAGCAGUGAAAUGCGUAGAGAUCAUGAGGAAGACCAGUGGCGAAGGCGGGUCUCUGGACAGUUCCUGACACUGAGGCACGAAGGCCGGGGGAGCAAACGGG